GAUGAACGCUGGCGGCGUGCCUAACACAUGCAAGUCGAACGAAAGGACCAGGUGUUUGCUCGCCUGAUGUUAGCGGCGGACGGGAGAGUCACUUGUGUAUCACCUACCUAUCAGACUGGGAUACUAUUGCGAAACCGUAUCUAAUAACGGAUAAUAUUUUGCAUCGCGUUGUUCCAAAGUGAAAUUCGGUAUUUCUGUCAGUAAUAGCUGGAUACGCGCUGCAUUAGCUUGUUGGUAAGGGAACGGCUUACCAAGGCUAGGAUGCAUAACCGGCCUGAGAGAGAGGUCGGCCACACGGGAACUGAGACACGGUACAGACUCCGAAGGGAGGCAACAGUAGGGAAUCCUCCGCAACGGGGGAGAGGCGGACAGAGCAAAACGGCGGGAGUGAUGAAGGUGUUCGGAUCGGAAAGCUCUGUUAGUAGGGGGGAACAUAUGUGUAAGUAACUGGGAAGAUCUUGACGGUACCUGGACAAAAAGCCACGGCUAACUACGUG
rnacentral:rRNA from 1 species